rnacentral:rRNA from 1 species
AUACGUAGGGUGCGAGCGUUUAUCGGAAUUACUGGGCGUAAAGCGUGCGCAGGUGGUUUUGUAAGUCAGAUGUGAAAUCCCCGGGCUUAACCUGGGAACUGCGUUUGAAACUGCAAGGCUAGAGUGUGGCAGAGGGGGGUGGAAUUCCGCGUGUAGCAGUGAAAUGCGUAGAGAUGUGGAGGAACACCGAUGGCGAAGGCAGCCCCCUGGGUCAACACUGACGCUCAGGCACGAAAGCAUGGGGAGCAAACAGGAUUAGAUACCCCGGUAGUCC